GCGCCUAGGGCGUUCGGGGAGCUGGGGAACCUGGAGCCAAAAGCGGACUUUCGGAGGGGGUACCCGCGGGGCGCAGGAGCGCAGGGACCGGACCAAGCAGUGACUCAGCACUGCAGAGAAGCAGAGGACAAGGGCUGGGAGCUGGGAGAAGAGAGUUGUCAGACCUGAUAUGGUAGCCACAGGUCACAUGUGGAUUGACACAUCGGUAGUCAGAAUGGAGAUGUGCUGUAAUUGAAAAACAUAUACACCAGGUUCCAAAGACUUAAUAUUUUUAAAAAAGUAAAAGAUCUCAAUAAUCAUUUAUAUCAAUUAUGUGUUGAAAUGAUGAUAUGUUGGGAUACUGGGUUAAAUUAUUAUAUGAAUUUAGUCUGUUUGUUCUUACUUUUAAAAAUGUGGUUACUAGAAAAUGUAAAAUUAUAUAUGUGGCUCACAUUUGUGGCUUGUAUGGGAUUCUGUUGGAGAGAUGCUGGAGAGAGGACCCCACAUUGAAAAUGGCCCCCAGCAUGGCAGGCCCUCCUGCCGGGGUCCAUGGGC